GACGAACGCUGGCGGCGUGCCUAAUACAUGCAAGUCGCACGAACGGCGACGGAACUUGUUCCGUCAAAGUUAGUGGCGCACGGGUGAGUAACACGUGGAGAACCUACCUUUCAGCGGGGGAUAACCAUUGGAAACGAUGACUAAUACCGCAUAGGACAUCUGGUCACAUGACCGGGUGAGGAAAGACGGCUUCGGCUGUCACUGAAAGAUGGCUCCGCGGAGCAUUAGCUAGAUGGUAAGGUAACGGCUUACCAUGGCCAUGAUGCAUAGCCGACCUGAGAGGGUGAUCGGCCACACUGGGACUGAGACACGGCCCAG
rnacentral:rRNA from 1 species